rnacentral:rRNA from 1 species
CCCUGAUGCACAAGGUACCUAAACGUACUAUUUCAAUUUUAAUUUUUUAAAAAAUUUUUAUUUUUCCUUUACAGUUAUAGAUAUAAUUUUUCUUUAAAAAAUAAAAUUUUAAUAUAAUUUUAUAUUUUUUAUCUUAUAAUUUUAAUAAUUGUUAAAAAAU